rnacentral:rRNA from 1 species
ACUAGCAGGAUUCCCCUAGUAACUGCGAGUGAAGCGGGAAAAGCUCAAAUUUAAAAUCUGGCAGUCAUUUCUGGCCGUCCGAGUUGUAAUCUAGAGAAGUGUUACCCGCGCUGGACCGUGUACAAGUCUCCUGGAAUGGAGCGUCAUAGAGGGUGAGAAUCCCGUCUUUGACACGGACUGCCAGGGCUUUUGUGGUGCGCUCUCAAAGAGUCGAGUUGUUUGGGAAUGCAGCUCAAAAUGGGUGGUAAAUUCCAUCUAAAGCUAAAUAUUGGCGAGAGACCGAUAGCGAACAAGUACCGUGAGGGAAAGAUGAAAAGAACUUUGGAAAGAGAGUUAAACAGUACGUGAAAUUGCUGAAAGGGAAACGCUUGAAGUCCAGUCGCGUUGGCCGGGGAUCAACCUUGCUUUUGCUGGGUGUACUUUUCCGGUCGACGGGUCAGCAUCAGUUUUGACCGUCGGAUAAAGUCUGGAGGAAUGUGGCAUCUUUGGAUGUGUUAUAGCCUCUGGUCGCAUACGACGGUUGGGACUGAGGAACUCAGCACGCCGAAAGGCCGGGUACUUGUACCACGUUCGUGCUCAGGAUGCUGGCAUAAUGGCUUCAAUCGACCCGUCUUGAAACACGGACCAAGGAGUCUAACAUGCCUGCGAGUGUUUGGGUGGAAAACCCGAGCGCGCAAUGAAAGUGAAAGUUGAGAUCCCUGUCGUGGGGAGCAUCGACGCCCGGACCAGAAGUUUACUGACGGACCCGCGGUAGAGCAUGUAUGUUGGGACCCGAAAGAUGGUGAACUAUGCCUGAAUAGGGUGAAGCCAGAGGAAACUCUGGUGGAAGCUCGUAGCGAUUCUGAC